GAUGGGGUUUUAGAUGUGUUUUACUGCAAGCUGUUUCAGUUCUGUAAACAGCACCAUGGAUGCUAGUAAUAUUUAUCUUUCAAGAACUUCAAGCUUUCAGCAGGUACAGUUUACAUGUGUGGUACUCAAUUAACCUUGAUCAUAAAAACAUGAACAAAUCCUGUCAACUUUAAUACAGCAGUUAAAAAGCUUUCUUCAGCUUUCCCAAGAGAGUGCCUUGCAGUUUGAGGCCAACCAGAACUUCUCUUUACUAAAAAUGGUCCUUUGUACGUGACAUUAAUAAGUGUAGGGCUUCCACAAGAAUGCAAAAGUUGAGUAGGAAAAAGGAGAAAAGUACUGUACAUUUUUACCAGGGACUUCACUGGCACUGAGCUUCUCAGCCAGUAGUAUCUGGUAGGGUGCUUGCAUCUAGGGUAACAAGGAGCCCGUGACAAAUUCUAGUCACAGAAGGUGGUUGUUAGCUUCAACAUACAUAAUACACAAGAACACAUGCACAGCAACCUUCAGACUAUGACUGGGGAAUGCUUCUCAUGCUGGAGGCAAGAGCUCUCUGUGAAUCUCCAUCAUUCCAGGCAUUAGGAGCCCUACAACAGGUCUUGUACGCUAAUGGGCUACCAUUGUGUACACUAACCACAUGCAACACCACAAGUGGACAACAAAUCACUGCAGUUACUUACUGAAAUGCUAUUGCAGAUAUCUAAGUGACUACUCAGUCAGUUCAAGCCCCUCCACUUACCAGCUUGUGCGGCAAGACACAGCAUCAUGCGCUGUCCCAGGGAAGACCAAUAAACAAAGUCAGCCGGAGACAGUAGCUCCAAAAUGAUAUUAAAAGGAAAUGGAGCUUCAGAAGCACAAGAGAAGACCAAAGGAACAUUUUUCUCUGGAUUCCAAGAUGCAAGGAGGAAGUUGUCAUCAAUCAAGCUAACAGAUAUUGCACAGGAAAGUAAACAGACACAGGUCUGUAACUUCCCUCCUCCUCUUUAGAGCUACACAAUGUGUUGAUUAUCAAAAUUAACAAGUCUAAGAAGGUUAUUGUUAGACAGGAAAGUUAGCCACUGGGACAAUGCUCAUGGACUUCUAACAUCUCAGUGAGCUUCAAGGAUUGCUGCAAAGAAUGCUUCUAUGAAAUAGGAGCUCAGCUAAGCCAGAAGAUAAGCUUGGAUAUGCUGGUCAAUCCAAGGAGGAUCAAUCUGCAUGUAGAUGUAGCUACAGAA
rnacentral:lncRNA from 1 species